rnacentral:rRNA from 1 species
UGGGGGAUAUUGCACAAUGGGCGAAAGCCUGAUGCAGCGACGCCGCGUGGGGGAUGAAGGCCUUCGGGUUGUAAACUUCUUUUGCUCUGAACAAGGCAUGCUAAUGGGUGUGUUGAGGGUAGGGGUUGAUUAGCGCCGGCUAACUACGUGACAGCAGCCGCGGUAAUACGUAGGGCGCGAGCGUUGUCCGGAAUUAUUGGGCGUAAAGGGCUUGUAGGUGGCUGGUUGCGUCUGUCGUGAAAGCUCAUGGCUUAACUGUGGGUUUGCGGUGGGUACUGGCUGGCUUGAGUGCAGUAGGGGAGGCUGGAAUUCCUGGUGUAGCGGUGGAAUGCGCAGAUAUCAGGAGGAAUACCGGUGGCGAAGGCGGGUCUCUGGGCUGUUACUGACACUGAGGAGCGAAAGCAUGGGGAGCGAACAGG